rnacentral:lncRNA from 1 species
AUUAAAAUUUUAAGAUUUGAAAAGGGAGGAAAAUAUACUUGAUAGAUUUGUGUAGGAGAAUGGUAUUAUUCAUGAGACUAUUCUACAUUAUUCUCCCAAAUCUAAUGAUAUAGUUGAAAGAAAAAAUAGAACUCUGCAGGAUAUAGUCAUUUCAAUGCUAAACUCUUCUUGAUUACCUCUAACAUGUGGUGGGAAGUCCUUCUUACCACAUAUUAUAUUCUUAAAAGAAUUCCUAAUAAGGAAAAUAAUAAAUCCCCUGAUGAAAUGUGGAAGGGCAGAUGAUGCGAACCCGAUCAGUAAGGUUGCAAUAGAACCCACAUGAUAUUGAAUCGAAUCCCAAAAACGCCAAUACGACCAAGGUUUAUGGAUCUGACCCCAAAAUAGUGAACCAAGCAACCCAACAAGAACGUUGCUGUAAAGGACAUCUUAAUCACACGAUUGAAGAAAUCACACCCGGAUUGUGGAUUUGAACCAAUAAAAGAUGAACCAAAAAAUACAACGGUAACGUUGACGCGAAAGACCCCUUGAUUACACAAUUCAAUGAUUCAAUCCGAUGUUUUGAACGCCACAAGAUGUUUAAAUCUUGAUAAGUUCGAUAAAAUUGUCCAUCAUAGACAAAGUUUUGAAGCAAUGCUUUCAAGAGAAAAAUCUCUCAUUAAUUC